GAUGAACGCUGGCGGCGUGCCUAAUACAUGCAAGUCGAGCGAAGCGGGGACGGGUGAGUAACACGUGGAUAACCUCCUAUAAGACUGGGAUAACUUCGGGAAACCGGAGCUAAACCGGUUACUUAUAAGUGGAUCCGCGCUGCAUUAUCUAGUUGGUAAGGUAACGGCUUACCAAGGCAACGAUGCAUAGCCGACCUGAGGGGGUGAUGGGUAACACUGGAAACGAGACAAGGUCCAGACUCAUACGGGAGGCAGCAGUAGGGAAUCUUCCGGAAUGGGCGAAAGCCUGACGGAGUAAUGCCGCGUGAGUGAUGAAGGUCUUCGGAUCGUAAAACUCUGUUAUUAGGGAAGAGGUACCUAAUCAGAAAGCCACGGCUAAAUACGUGCCAGCAGACGCGGUAAUUC
rnacentral:rRNA from 1 species